CAUGUCUUUUUGAUUAUAAUAAAAAGUCUAGUCUGCUCCAUGAAUAUUUUAAAUAGCUGCAGUAUUUUGACUGUACAAAGGUAGCAUAAUAAAUAGUCUUUUAAUUGAAGACUUGAAUGAAAGAUUGGACGAGAAAAUAGCUGUCUCGGUCUUAUUAUUUUUGAAUUUAACUUUUUAGUUAAAAGGCUAAAAUUUUUUUAAAAGACAAGAAGACCCUAUAGAGUUUUAUAGUUUAUAAUUUUUGGUUUUUUUAGUAUUAAUAAAAUUUAAAUUUUUAUAAAUUAUUUGGUUGGGGUGAUCAGAAAAUUUACAAAACUUUUUGAUUUUUUUAAUUACUUAUUUGUAAAUUAAUUAUCUAUAGUUUAAAUUUAAAAUAAAUUACCUUAGGGAUAACAGCGUUAUAUAUUUUUAAAGUUCUUAUUUAAAAAUAUGAUUGCGACCUCGAUGUUGGAUUAAAAUAAAUUUUUAGUGCAGUAGCUAAAUAAUUAAGUCUGUUCGACUUUUAAAAUUUUACAUGAUCUGAGU
rnacentral:rRNA from 1 species